rnacentral:rRNA from 1 species
AAUACGACUCUCGGCAACGGAUAUCUCGGCUCUCGCAUCGAUGAAGAACGUAGCGAAAUGCGAUACUUGGUGUGAAUUGCAGAAUCCCGUGAACCAUCGAGUCUUUGAACGCAAGUUGCGCCCCAAGCAGUUACUCGUAACGGCUUGGGGCACGUCUGCCUGGGUGUCACGC